rnacentral:lncRNA from 1 species
CAAAAUUAACCUUUCAGGGAGAGCGGGGCACUGGCCAGGUCCCUCUGAUCAUGAAUUGCUGCUCUAAGACAUAACUGCUGUGGGGAGGUGGUUGGUGUUUGGCGGGGAAGGGCUGCUAGGCUGCGGUUUCAUAAGGACAAUAAUACAUCAAAAAGGACAAUCAUAGAUCAAAGGGGAUAUUUUGGGUCAACUUGAUAUGUAGUGGAAAGCAGAUUGGGAGGGGAGCCAAGUACUGGAUAUGCUCCGUGCGUGAGUGUGUCUGUGUGUGUGUGUGUGUGUGUGUGUGUGUGUAAAUCAUGUUGCUCUCUGGGUCUGUUUCCCAAUCUGUAGAGUGUAAAAGUCUCUGAGGCUCCUUGCAGAGACAAGUGAUGGAACGACCUUGACAGAAGAGAGCAGAGAGAGGAAAGAAGGGGGAGGAAGCUAAGCAAAGGAGAGAGAAAUGGUGUGAUGAGGGAGGAGACGCGGAGCUGGGAUUUACAGGUACAGUGCAUAGUAAUUUUUGGAUAAUUGGAGUGAAUGAAUGAAAAGCGUGAAACGUCUCACAGGAGCGAGAAGAUCCACGAGAGAAAACGAGCAGGGACGCAGCUCUGGUGCCUGGUCCUGCCGGGUGGUCCCCACGCCGCCAGCCGCGCGUUCCCCAACCGGGCGCUCCCGGCGCCCUCUCGGUGAGCCGCCCUGA